UGCAUCUGCGGUGUGGGCCCGGACCAGUUAGAGGGUCUUCUUCUUUCCCCGCACGACUCGCUCGCCCGCACACCGGCCACGGGGGAAUCCGGGGGUGGUUGUGCUAGUCAUGCAUACCGGACCUCCCCUUGCCCCUCCGAUUCGCUCCACGCCAGCACCUAGGAACUUGGGCCAGAGCUUGGUGUUCCGCUAUUCGCAACCGCAAAGGAGAGCUUGAAGACACCACCGCACCCGUAUUUGGUCUGUGGUGCCGUUCGGCUCCCCGGAUGUGGGUAGAGCGCAUCGUUUGCGAGUGAGGGACCUGGACAGGGCGACUCCAGGGGCGGUGAACCGGUGAGUCUCUGUUAAUUGCUCGCUGACGACACAUCGCCACCGCGGGUCUGCGCUACACCGUGGAUAGGGCCUCGCAUCGCGUGAUUCAUGGAGAAGAACAGGUGGUUCAAGAGGAGCCACACAACGAGGAGUUCGAUUCGAUCUAGGUGGUGUCUCCCAGUUGACUUUCUGGCGCCAAGGAUGGAUUUUAGAUCCUGUUAUAUUUAUCUUUUAUUUUGUAAGACUUCCGCUAUGUAAUAAGUACUCUGAUGUUAUUAUGACAUUUAUCUCUAUACACUUUGUUAUUAUAUAUGUUGUCUUCUUUGGCGCAUGUAUGAGAUGCACCUGGCUUUGUCUCUUAGAAAUCGCGUGUGACAAUUUUCAUCAAGGAGUAAUUUUAACAAAAGUCAACCUAGCUAAGAGAAAUUGGAUUGGA